CUACGGGAUGCUGCAGUGGGGAAUAUUGGACAAUGGGGGAAACCCUGAUCCAGCAAUGCCGCGUGUGUGAAGAAGGCCUGCGGGUUGUAAAGCACUUUCGAUUGGGAGGACUGCUUCUAGCACUAAUAUUGUUGGAAGUUGACGUUACCUUCAGAAGAAGCACCGGCUAACUCCGUGCCAGCAGCCGCGGUAAUACGGAGGGUGCAAGCUUAAUCGGAAUUACUGGGCGUAAAGCGCGCGUAGGCGGCUAGAUCAGUCGGGUGUGAAAGCCCCGGGCUUAACCUGGGAACUGCAUCCGAUACUGUCUAGCUUGAGUACAGGAGAGGAGAGUGGAAUUCCACAUGUAGCGGUGACAUGCGUAGAUAUGUGGAGGAACACCAAUGGCGAAGGCAGCUCUCUGGCCUGAUACUGACGCUGAGGUGCGAAAGCGUGGGGAGCAAACAGGAUUAGAUACCCCAGUAGUC
rnacentral:rRNA from 1 species